GCCAGCAUGGUGUAAUGGUUUGAAUGUUGGGACUGUGACACCGGAAGACCAGGGUUCGAAUCCCUGCUGAGCCA